rnacentral:rRNA from 1 species
UAAGUUGCAGGGUAUAGACCCGAAACCCGGUGAUCUAGCCAUGGGCAGGUUGAAGGUUGGGUAACACUAACUGGAGGACCGAACCGACUAAUGUUGAAAAAUUAGCGGAUGACCUGUGGCUGGGGGUGAAAGGCCAAUCAAACCGGGAGAUAGCUGGUUCUCCCCGAAAGCUAUUUAGGUAGCGCCUCGUGAAUUCAUCUCCGGGGGUAGAGCACUGUUUCGGCCAGGGGGCCAUCCCGGCUUACCAACCCGAUGCAAACUGCGAAUACCGGAGAAUGUUAUCACGGGAGACACACGGCGGGUGCUAACGUCCGUCGUGAAGAGGGAAACAACCCAGACCGCCAGCUAAGGUCCCAAAGUCAUGGUUAAGUGGGAAACGAUGUGGGAAGGCCCAGACAGCCAGGAUGUUGGCUUAGAAGCAGCCAUCAUUUAAAGAAAGCGUAAUAGCUCACUGGUCGAGUCGGCCUGCGCGGAAGAUGUAACGGGGCUAAACCAUGCACCGAAGCUGCGGCAGCGAACGUAUCACUUAAAGCGAUUCAGCGGAUGACGAUUGACGGAGCGAAGCGACGUCAAAGCGUUUUACAACGUCGAGUCGGUUUAAGGAUACGUUCGUUGGGUAGGGGAGCGUUCUGUAAGCCUGCGAAGGUGUGUCGUGAGGCAUGCUGGAGGUAUCAGAAGUGCGAAUGCUGACAUAAGUAACGAUAAUGCGGGUGAAAAACCCGCACGCCGGAAGACCAAGGGUUCCUGUCCAACGUUAAUCGGGGCAGGGUGAGUCGACCCCUAAGGCGAGGCCGAAAGGCGUAGUCGAUGGGAAACAGGUUAAUAUUCCUGUACCUGGUGUUACUGCGAAGGGGGGACGGAGAAGGCUAUGUUGGCCGGGCGACGGUUGUCCCGGUUUAAGCGUGUAGGUGUGUGUUCCAGGAAAAUCCGGUUCACUUUAACACUGAGGCGUGACGACGAGGCACUACGGUGCUGAAGCAACAAAUGCCCUGCUUCCAGGAAAAGCCUCUAAGCCUCAGGUAACAUCAGAUCGUACCCGAAACCGACACAGGUGGUCAGGUAGAGAAUACCAAGGCGCUUGAGAGAACCCGGGUGAAGGAACUAGGCAAAAUGGUGCCGUAACUUCGGGAGAAGGCACGCUGACACGUAGGUGAAGCGGUUUACCCGUGGAGCUGAAGUCAGUCGAAGAUACCAGCUGGCUGCAACUGUUUAUUAAAAACACAGCACUGUGCAAACACGAAAGUGGACGUAUACGGUGUGACGCCUGCCCGGUGCCGGAAGGUUAAUUGAUGGGGUCAGCGCAAGCGAAGCUCCUGAUCGAAGCCCCGGUAAACGGCGGCCGUAACUAUAACGGUCCUAAGGUAGCGAAAUUCCUUGUCGGGUAAGUUCCGACCUGCACGAAUGGCGUAAUGAUGGCCAGGCUGUCUCCACCCGGGACUCAGUGAAAUUGAACUCGCUGUGAAGAUGCAGUGUACCCGCGGCAAGACGGAAAGACCCCGUGAACCUUUACUAUAGCUUGACACUGAACACUGGUCCUUGAUGUGCAGGAUAGGUGGGAGGCUUUGAAGUGUGGACGCCAGUCUGCAUGGAGCCGUCCUUGAAAUACCACCCUUUAAUGGCUGGUGUUCUAACGUAGACCCGUGAACCGGGUUGCGGACAGUGUCUGGUGGGUAGUUUGACUGGGGCGGUCUCCUCCUAAAGCGUAACGGAGGAGCACGAAGGUUGGCUAAUCCUGGUCGGACAUCAGGAGGUUAGUGCAAUGGCAUAAGCCAGCUUGACUGCGAGCGUGACGGCGCGAGCAGGUGCGAAAGCAGGUCAUAGUGAUCCGGUGGUUCUGAAUGGAAGGGCCAUCGCUCAACGGAUAAAAGGUACUCCGGGGAUAACAGGCUGAUACCGCCCAAGAGUUCAUAUCGACGGCGGUGUUUGGCACCUCGAUGUCGGCUCAUCACAUCCUGGGGCUGAAGUAGGUCCCAAGGGUAUGGCUGUUCGCCAUUUAAAGUGGUACGCGAGCUGGGUUUAGAACGUCGUGAGACAGUUCGGUCCCUAUCUGCCGUGGGCGCUGGAGAACUGAGGGGGGCUGCUCCUAGUACGAGAGGACCGGAGUGGACGCAUCACUGGUGUUCGGGUUGUCAUGCCAAUGGCACUGCCCGGUAGCUAAAUGCGGAAGAGAUAAGUGCUGAAAGCAUCUAAGCACGAAACUUGCCCCGAGAUGAGUUCUCCCUGAGACUACGAGUCUCCUGAAGGAACGUUGAAGACGACGACGUUGAUAGGCCGGGUGUGUAAGCGCAGCGAUGCGUUGAGCUAACCGGUACUAAUGAACCG